AUUCUGUACUAGAUCAGGAGAGAGAAUGUUGGUUCAAAUCUAAGAUGCAGAGCAGAUUGGUUAAGGACUAAGUUAGUUGAUCAUUUCCUAAGACAAGACUAGGACUAGCAGCAAAGGUGGUAUGGAUACUAUCAAGAUGAGAGGAGAAGUGGACAAACUGAAAACUAGUUCAAGGUCUAACUUUACAAACAUGACCUACCCACUGUGGCAUCCCUCUUACGCUUAGCCUGAUGUGCUUUGGUAGAGGAAGCACCACCCAUAUGAGUCUGCAUUUGCCAAAGGUGCCUUAGAAGAAAGGGAAAGAACUGGAACAGGUCAGCAAGUCCCAUGCUAAUGGGACUCAUGUCAAGCUGGGUCAAGUUGGGGUGUAGAUCUCUCAUUGAGAGCUAAAGCAUGGCGCUAAAAUAAGGGAAAGCAGAGACAUAGAAAACAAUCAAAUCUGAAGAAACCAGAGGAUGGAGAUGGAGGCUGUAGAACAAGGUGGGAAUGGAAGCUGGUGGAGAACAAUAAGGUCCUGCUGAGGAUCCCUGGUGCCCAGUAGGGAACACCGUGAGGAGGAGGAUUAAGAAAGGCACCCUUUCCACUGAUUUGCAUCGCCAUUUGUACAUGGAGUUUGGCUACAGCAAAAUCCGUUGCUAUCUCACCAGCUACAAGAAGCAAAGAACGAAUUGCAAUUCAUUUUUGUGCUCUAGGACCCGGUUGAGGAGUUUUCCAGCUGGAUUUGAUGUCACUUUCCCAUGCUGUCACUAAUCCCCAGCCACAACAGAAUGGGUCACACUCUUCUGCACUUUGGACCCUUUGCCCAUGCCAGAGUUAUCCGCUGACCCUCUUCCCAUGGCUGUCACCUCUUCAAAAAGGUCCACUGAACCUGAAGUAGAUGUCCUCCCUCUAUUAAGAUUCAACGUAUCAAAUCCACCCUUUCAAAGUCUUAGACUAGCACCUGGCAUACAUCUCCUUGCUGACAAAAAAGGAAAUGACUUCUGAAGACAUGAAAAAAAAAAAACAGGGUGAAGACAAAUUGGGUUAGAAUAACCCAUGACCUAGAUCAUUAGACUUUGACUAAUGAAGAACUGCCUUUUAACAGAGUUAAAAUUGACAGCACCAUGGCCUCACACCCAACAGGGUUUGAGGCUGGACCCUUCUUUGACAAACGAUGCCCUGAUUUACGCGCAAAAAUACCCAUCACAGCAUUAUUUAUAAUAUUCCCUGUCCAAUGCUGGGGACCUAGUUCAAUUAGCUAUAGAACAGCCAUUUGAUGAAAUAUUAUAAAGCUAUUAAAAUAAUAGGGGCAAAGAAAUUUUAAAACAUGGGGAAAGCCUUGAUGUUGUAAUAUUAAAUGAAUGAAGGAAUUCUAUGAAUGAAACUCAUUAAAACAUGUCUUCACAGUAGCUGCAUUGAUUGCACAUUUACUAUCGUUCAGGCAUCUUUUCCAAAUGUGAUACAGGAGGGCAAGCUUGGAAACAAGACGGGAACCUCUUGAUCCAUGGCACAAUGCUGUCGACCCCUAAGUUCUUCCUCUUUAUCUAAACCCAGGUUUGGAAGUACACCAAAAUAUUAAUACUAUACAUCAUUGCAAGCUUUCCUUCUUUGAUCCUCUGUAUUUUGUAAAUGUUCCAACACCUUUUAAAAUACACUUUUGUUCUCCUUUAAAGUCUCCCUGAGAGCUUCUAGAAGGCAGCUGCUGUGGGCUCACAUCAUCCAUCCUUCCCCCCGCAAAUGUGUAAAUAAAGAAACACCUCUGUGCCUUUAAAUUAUAACAGGCUAAACUUUCCCCUGUAAGUUGAUACUCAGACCAGAAGUCUGUGGGUAGGAAGAGUGUUGUGUUUUUUUGUUGCAGCUUCUUUUGGCUGAUAAACUAGCACUUAAGUGUUUCCCUUUUCCAAACCCCCAAAUGACAAGUAUCUUUGUGGUAAAGUGAUGGCCCAACUGUCAUGGCCAUCAUAAACGGUGCUGAGGACACUUAUUUUUAGUUUACUGUCUAAGGAAGCACUAGGCUUGCUAACCAGAGACCUUGGGGCCCAAACCCCU
rnacentral:lncRNA from 1 species